GAUGAACGCUGACAGAAUGCUUAACACAUGCAAGUCGAUGGGGAAGUGGUGCUUGCACCAUGGUAACCAUGGCGGACGGGUGAGUAACGCGUAAGGAACUUACCUGCGGGACCGGGAUAACAGCAGGAAACUGCUGACAAGACCGGAUAAGGUCAUUAAGCUGCAUAGCUUAGUGAUGAAAGGAGACGCCUGCGGAGAGCCUUGCGUCCUAUUAGCUAGUUGGAGGGGUAACGGCCCACCAAGGCGAAGAUAGGUAGCCGGCCUGAGAGGGUGGACAGCCACAAGGGGACUGAGAUACGGCCCUUACUCCUACGGGAGGCAGCAGUGGGGAAUAUUGGACAAUGGGGGCAACCCUGAUCCAGCAAUUCUGUGUGCACGAAGACGGUUUUCGGAUUGUAAAGUGCUUUCAGCAGGGAAGAAGGAAGUGACGGUACCUGCAGAAGAAGCGACGGCUAAAUACGUG
rnacentral:rRNA from 1 species